rnacentral:rRNA from 1 species
UACGUAGGAGGCGAGCGUUGUCCGGAGUUACUGGGCGUAAAGGGUGCGUAGGCGGCCGCGCGCGUGGCGGGUGAAAUCUCCCGGCUUACCCGGGAGGGGGCUUGCCAGACGGCGUGGCUUGAGGGACGGAGAGGGGCGUGGAAUUCCGGGUGGAGCGGUGAAAUGCGCAGAUAUCAGGAAGAACACCCGUGGCUAAGGCGGCUCUCUAGUACGGUACUGACGCUGAGGCACGAAAGUGUGGGGAGCAAACAGG